GUGCCCGUAGCUCAGUCGGUAGAGCAACUGACUUUUAAUCAGUAGGUCACAGGUUCGAAUCCUGUCGGGCACACCA
rnacentral:tRNA from 1 species